GUGAUGAACUAGAACGCUUUGGAAAUAGCGGCCAUAGAGGGUGAUAGUCCCGUAUAGGCAAAGAGCAUUUAGAUAGUGGUAUCCUGAGUAGUGCGGGGCACGUGAAACCCUGUAUGAAUCCGGCGGGACCAUCCGCCAAGACUAAAUACUCCUGAGAGACCGAUAGUGAACCAGUACCGUGAGGG
rnacentral:rRNA from 1 species